rnacentral:rRNA from 1 species
UACGUAGGGGGCAAGCGUUAUCCGGAAUUAUUGGGCGUAAAGAGCUCGUAGGCGGUUUGUCGCGUCUGCCGUGAAAGUCCGGGGCUCAACUCCGGAUCUGCGGUGGGUACGGGCAGACUAGAGUGAUGUAGGGGAGACUGGAAUUCCUGGUGUAGCGGUGAAAUGCGCAGAUAUCAGGAGGAACACCGAUGGCGAAGGCAGGUCUCUGGGCAUUAACUGACGCUGAGGAGCGAAAAGCAUGGGGAGCGAACAGG